GACGAAUAGAAUGCACGAAGUAGUAGGUCUCAUACAAUAUCAAAUGGUGAUUGAAAGCAAGGGAAUUGAUUCACGCCAAUCCGCUGAUUAUUCAAGCAGCGAUGCAAUACGUGUCUCGGUUUUGAAUUUAGUAGAUUUGGCUGGUUCUGAGAGGAUUGCUAAAACUGGUGCUGGCGGAGUACGUUU